AUUGAACGCUGGCGGCAGGCUUAACACAUGCAAGUCGAGCGGGGUGAUGGUGCUUGCACUAUCACUUAGCGGCGGACGGGCGAGUAAUGCUUAGGAAUCUGCCUAUUAGUGGGGGACAACAUCUCGAAAGGGAUGCUAAUACCGCAUACGUCCUACGGCAGAAAGCAGGGCAUCAAUUGUGACCCUGCGCUAAUAGAUGAGCCUAAGUCGGGUUAGCUAGUUGGUGGGGUAAAGUCCUACCAAGGCGACGAUCGGAAGCGGGUCUGAGAGGAUGAUCCGCCACACUGGGACUGAGACACGGCCCAGACUCCUACGGGAGGCAGCAGUGGGGAAUAUUGGACAAUGGGGGGAACCCUGAUCCAGCCAUGCCGCGUGUGUGAAGAAGGCCUUAUGGUUGUAAAGCACUUUAAGCGAGGAGGAGGCUCUUUUGGUUAAUACCCAAGAUGAGUGGACGUUACUCGCAGAAUAAGCACCGGCUAACUCUGUGCCAGCCGCCGCCGUAA
rnacentral:rRNA from 1 species